GAUUAAGUGUCGUAAGGGCAUUUGGUGGAUGCCUUGGCAUGCACAGGCGAAGAAGGACGUGAUACGCUGCGAAAAGCCGUGGGGAGCUGCGAAUGAGCUUUGAUCCAUGGAUAUCCGAAUGGGGCAACCCACCUUAAAUGCUUGGAGAAUCCAAACUGAUCGCGAGAUCGGCUUGGGUUUCCAAGCAUUGUGAUAAGGUAUCUAACCUUCGAAUACAUAGGGGUUAGAAGCGAACUCGGGGAACUGAAACAUCUAAGUACCCGAAGGAAAGGACAUCAACCGAGACUCCGCAAGUAGUGGCGAGCGAACGCGGACCAGGCCAGUGGCAAUGUGGAAUAAAGUGGAACGCUCUGGAAAGUGCGACCGUAGUGGGUGACAGUCCCGUACGCGUAGAACACA
rnacentral:rRNA from 1 species